GAAAGGUUUUCGUUAUUUUCACUUGGAUGCCAAGGACAAAUCUGCUUUAUUAAGUGCACGAAAUACGAGUUGGUAUAUUGUUAGACAAACAAAUGUAGAGUUCAAACAUUGGCCAUUAUUUUUCUCAGUAUUUCGUCUCCGCAAAUCGAACAGCCGAUUUGAUUGUCACAUUUUUGGAAAAGGGGAAAGCGGCGGAGGUGUCACGAUGUCAUCUGUAUAUGGGAGUCGGUGAUUGGUACGAGUACGGGUUUGCUACUUAGAACCCGACCACGGAGAUCCAACACUUGGUCAAGCCAAGCGAAUUGGUGGGUAUUAGAGGAUUAGAGGAGGGUCGCCUGGGCGUUGCAGUGACUAAUGGUUUAGCAACGGGCAAAAUAUCAGAGAGCCAUGGCUUACCUCAGCAACUGACUCACCCCACCGAUCGGGGCAGGCUAAUUUUUGCAGCAAUGUGGUGACAACGGAACGUCUGUGUUUGGUCUUUCAACAGAAAAAUGCGGCACAUAAACAAAAUCACAAUCAAAAGCGCUGCAGAAGCAAGAGCUGAAUCUGACACGCCGACCAGAUUCUCGGACGCCCCAGCACUGAAUCCACUGCUCUUUCGCAUGUCAGUUGAGUUUGAAACACACUCGUACCACACCAGACACCAAGUGGGCCCAAAUCAGAAGAACGGAAGGGGGAGCCCCCAUAGCCAAGCAAUUUGUGUCGUUUUUGCCGUCUCAUUUGGCACACGGCCAGUGCAUUGGGCCAAAAUGCAAUCGAGUGCACGCCCGUCUGCCAGCCUGCGAUUCCGAGCGACUCCGCGUGUCCGGCCCCCUCGCAACUAUAAAUUACAUUCCAUUAAAAAAUCAUGCCGCGGCGCACAAAUCAACAUCAACUCAAUGAACAUAAAUUGCCAAGUCGAGCUGCUGGAGCGCGGGGUACGUAAAAAAUGGGGGUGGUUGACAAUCGCUGGGCGGCGCUAACGGAUCGAUCGACCUUCACAUUGGCCGCCAUGGCGACAACGCACAUGGCCCAAAAUGCACACAAACAGGGCCAAAAAGAAAGAGGGGAAUGGCCAAAUGACAGGACUUUGUACUGAACGGCCAAGCGGUCUACAGUGGGCAUACGAAGUGCCAGAUCGGGUGAAUUAGGUAUGAGAUUAUAUAAGAGAAUUUAAAAUUUAAAAUGUAAGUUGACGCUGUGUAAAAUAAAGAAUAUAUUUUCAAAGCCAUUUAAUGAAAUAACGCUUUUGAUUAGUACACUAAAGCAUCUAUACAUUUACAAAUAUUUUUAAAAUGAAAGCAAUAUAUAAGGUAGUUUACUUUUUGUCGGUGUAAGAUUUCACCUAUUUUAAAUUAUCAGCCUGGUCGAUUCAUCCAUAAGUCCCGCAUUGGUCAUAAAUCUCGCAGAUAGUGCUGCUAUCUUAAUUGGUCCUGUCCACGGUGCGGCUAACGUAACGCAUUUGGGAGCUGUCCGACGUGGAUUCCGGUGCCUCCGAGGUUUCCAUUUGAUGGCCACUGGCCUUCCAGUGGAUCCAGAGUUCGUUUUGAGCUAUUUCUGCUGCGUGGGCGUUUGUGACACGCAGCUAGUUUUGUUAUUGUGCCCCCGAGUGAUGUUUGCAGCUAAUUAGAAACGCCCCAUACGCCCUCACAUGUGCCCAGCAAAAGCAAUCUGCAAUUACAGCUCUUGGGAAGGAGAGGAUGUCUCAGGACAUGUGCGAAAUAAGUGCCAAAUGAUUUGGCUUUCGGAGCGGGCAUGUAAUUAAUGGAGCGUGGCUUGAAAUAUGCAAAGCUCAAUCAACUGCAUUACGCAGACCUGGAAUCCCGCUAGCCCGCCCAGAUCUUUUGCCCUCCUCCCACGGUGAGUCCAUUUCCGCCCGAACACGUUGUGUGCAACCCCAUCCACUUCCUCCUCGGCGCCACAUGACGUGCCGUUGAUAUUUAUGCCGUCGCCAUUGUCGUCUCAGUUCUCGGAACUUCAUUCAGCAUCCCCUCCAGCUCGGAAUUCAGGACGCAGGACUCGCUUCUCCUUUGAGCGUAAUCAGCAACGUGCCAGGGUAAGGUAAAAUCACUAUCGCACCGCAGGAAGUCGAAGGAUACAAUGUAUGUUCAAUGCACUGGAAAUAAUGGGAUUUCAACCUUUCGGCGAGUAAUGCAAUUUGAGCUGAAAUAAAUAUUCAUGAAAUACA